CAUAGCGACUAUCGUGGCAUAUCAAUAAGCGGAGGAAAAGAAACUAACAAGGAUUCCCUAGUAACGGCGAGUGAAGCGGGAAGAGCUCAAAUUUGAAAUCUUCAAGGUUUUACCCUGACGAAUUGUAGUUUAAAGAAGUGUUUUCUGUUAGAGAGUUUGGUAAAAGCUUCUUUGGAAUAGGACAUCAUAGAGGGUGAGAAUCCCGUAUUUGACCAUUAUUUCCAGCUGUGUGAUACACUUUCAAAGAGUCGGAUUGUUUGGGAAUGCAGUCCAAAAUGGGUGGUAAAUUUCAUCUAAAGCUAAAUACUGGCGAGAGACCGAUAGCGAACAAGUACCGUGAGGGAAAGAUGAAAAGAACUUUGAAAAGAGAGUUAAACAGUACGUGAAAUUGUCAAAAGGGAAGCGUUUGACACCAGUGUUGUUUUCUCGAAAAUCAAUUAAAAAUGAUGGGAUUUUGUGUUGUAUUGACUUUAUCAGCUUUCUGCACUUUUUUCUUAUCUUUUUUAAUGCACUUUUCGUUUAACAAGUCAACAUCAAUUUCUUUUGUUGUAAAAGAGUCAUUGGUAGGUGGCUUUUUCUUCGGAAAAAGUGUUUAUAGCCUUUGGCUUCUGCAAUCGGAGAGAUUGAGGUCUGCAGCGUAGAUCCUUCGGGGUUAGAUACAGUUUGUGCUAAGCUAUAGUUCUUUAUAGACAACUUGUUGACUAUAAUCAAUCCUGUAACUUACUCGCUUAUGCUAUUUUACCUACGCUUAGGAUGUUGACGAGACUGUCGAUCUC
rnacentral:rRNA from 1 species